AUUGAACGCUGGCGGCAGGCUUAACACAUGCAAGUCGAACGAUGAUUUCCCAGCUUGCUGGGAAUGAUUAGUGGCGGACGGGUGAGUAACAUUUAGGAAUCUGCCUAGUAGUGGGGGAUAGCUCGGGGAAACUCGAAUUAAUACCGCAUACGACCUACGGGUGAAAGGGGGCGCAAGCUCUUGCUAUUAGAUGAGCCUAAAUCAGAUUAGCUAGUUGGUGGGGUAAAGGCCCACCAAGGCGACGAUCUGUAACUGGUCUGAGAGGAUGAUCAGUCACACCGGAACUGAGACACGGUCCGGACUCCUACGGGAGGCAGCAGUGGGGAAUAUUGGACAAUGGGGGCAACCCUGAUCCAGCCAUGCCGCGUGUGUGAAGAAGGCCUUUUGGUUGUAAAGCACUUUAAGCAGGGAGGAGAGGCUAAUGGUUAAUACCCAUUAGAUUAGACGUUACCUGCAGAAUAAGCACCGGCUAACUCUGUGCCAGCAGCCGCGGUAAUACAGAGGGUGCGAGCGUUAGUCGGAAUUACUGGGCGUAAAGCGAGUGUAGGUGGCUCAUUAAGUCACAUGUGAAAUCCCCGGGCUUAACCUGGGAACUGCAUGUGAUACUGGUGGUGCUAGAAUAUGUGAGAGGGAAGUAGAAUUCCAGGUGUAGCGGUGAAAUGCGUAGAGAUCUGGAGGAAUACCGAUGGCGAAGGCAGCUUCCUGGCAUAAUAUUGACACUGAGAUUCGAAAGCGUGGGUAGCAAACAGGAUUAGAUACCCUGGUAGUCCACGCCGUAAACGAUGUCUACUAGCCGUUGGGGUCCUUGAGACUUUAGUGGCGCAGUUAACGCGAUAAGUAGACCGCCUGGGGAGUACGGCCGCAAGGUUAAAACUCAAAUGAAUUGACGGGGGCCCGCACAAGCGGUGGAGCAUGUGGUUUAAUUCGAUGCAACGCGAAGAACCUUACCUGGUCUUGACAUAGUGAGAAUCCUGCAGAGAUGCGGGAGUGCCUUCGGGAAUUCACAUACAGGUGCUGUAUGGCUGUCGUCAGCUCGUGUCGUGAGAUGUUGGGUUAAGUCCCGCAACGAGCGCAACCCUUUUCCUUAUUUGCCAGCGGGUUAAGCCGGGAACUUUAAGGAUACUGCCAGUGACAAACUGGAGGAAGGCGGGGACGACGUCAAGUCAUCAUGGCCCUUACGACCAGGGCUACACACGUGCUACAAUGGUAGGUACAGAGGGUUGCUACACAGCGAUGUGAUGCUAAUCUCAAAAAGCCUAUCGUAGUCCGGAUUGGAGUCUGCAACUCGACUCCAUGAAGUCGGAAUCGCUAGUAAUCGCAGAUCAGAAUGCUGCGGUGAAUACGUUCCCGGGCCU
rnacentral:rRNA from 1 species